CACAGAGACGGGCAAGCACUCAGAAGCAUUUCGUUUGCCUUGAUCCUGGAGGCGCGCGGCCGUCUCCCGCUGCCGAGGAUUUGACGCGAACUCCUGGCAGAUCAGAAAUGUUCAGGCGAACGGCGGUUAUAUUUGUCAGUGGACCCAAGACUUCGUUGACGGGCAAAUAUGGAACACUGCAACAAGGACUGGUCUGGAUAGCGUGCUGCGCUGGUCUCGCCAACUGAAAAGAAUUCUGUGACAUUACGAGCCAACAAUGAAAACCUCGAUCCAUCCUGUCUCCACAUAUUAUCUAGUUUGUGCGCCGUGGAGCUUGAAGCACUUCUCAGAAUUUCAGCACACUCGCAUUUAUUGAAAGUGCAGUGUUUUUCUUGUUUGUGCAGCGACAAAAUUAUUUUUAGUUGUGUGAAUAUAGUUUCUACACGCGACAUGACUGUGCAACUGGUCAAGUAAAUAAUCUACCUUUCUCACAGUAUUAUUCAUUGUUCUUUCUUUCAAUCUUUCCCGACAGAAGAACAAUGCAAGUCUCAC